rnacentral:rRNA from 1 species
CUACGGGCUGCUGCAGUGGGGAAUAUUGCACAAUGGAGGAAACUCUGAUGCAGCAACGCCGCGUGGAGGAUGACACUUUUCGGAGCGUAAACUCCUUUUAUAUAGGAAGAAGAUGACGGUACUAUAUGAAUAAGCGCCGGCUAACUCCGUGCCAGCAGCCGCGGUAAUACGGAGGGCGCAAGCGUUACUCGGAAUCACUGGGCGUAAAGAGCGUGUAGGCGGAUUAAAAAGUCAGAAGUGAAAUACUAUAGCUUAACUAUAGAACUGCUUCUGAAACUCUUAAUCUAGAAGAUGGGAGAGGUAGAUGGAAUUUCUGGUGUAGGGGUAAAAUCCGUAGAGAUCAGAAGGAAUACCGAUUGCGAAGGCGAUCUACUAGAACAUUAUUGACGCUGAGACGCGAAAGCGUGGGGAGCAAACAGGAUUAGAUACCCCCGUAGUC